CAUCUACUUCCUCCGUUCCGAAUUACUUGUCUCGGAAAUGGAUGUAUCUAGAACUAAAAUACAUCUAGAUACAUCCAUUUCCGAGACAAGUAAUUCCGAACGGAGGGAGUAUUUG
rnacentral:pre_miRNA from 1 species